AGCUUUAUAGUCAAUUUUAUAUGAUAUUAGAUUGCAAUUCUAAAGUAAGAUUUAUUCUUAAAGCUU
rnacentral:tRNA from 1 species